rnacentral:rRNA from 1 species
AAAUUGAAGAGUUUGAUCAUGGCUCAGAUUGAACGCUGGCGGCAGGCCUAACACAUGCAAGUCGAACGGUAACAGGAAGCAGCUUGCUGCUUCGCUGACGAGUGGCGGACGGGUGAGUAAUGUCUGGGAAACUGCCUGAUGGAGGGGGAUAACUACUGGAAACGGUAGCUAAUACCGCAUAACGUCGCAAGACCAAAGAGGGGGACCUUCGGGCCUCUUGCCAUCGGAUGUGCCCAGAUGGGAUUAGCUA